AGAAUCAACGCUGGCGGCGUGCCUAACACAUGCAAGUCGAACGAGAAAGUGGAGCAAUCCAUGAGUAAAGUGGCGACCGGGUGAGUAACACGUGACUAACCUACCUUCGAGUGGGGGAUAACUCCGGGAAACCGGAGCUAAUACCGCAUAACAUCGCAAGAUCAAAGCAGCAAUGCGCUUAAAGAGGGGGUCGCGGCUGAUUAGCUAGUUGGCGGGUAACGGCCCACCAAGGCGACGAUCGGUA
rnacentral:rRNA from 1 species